rnacentral:tRNA from 1 species
GGCCUUGGAGUGUAAACACGCGGGGUUGCAAACCCUGAGAUGCAGAUAAUUCCUGUCGGGGCUU